rnacentral:rRNA from 1 species
GUAGGUGGCAAGCGUUGUCCGGAAUUAUUGGGCGUAAAGCGCGCGCAGGCGGUUCUUUAAGUCUGAUGUGAAAGCCCACGGGCUCAACCGUGGAGGGUCAUUGGAAACUGGAGAACUUGAGUACGGAAGAGGAAAGCGGAAUUCCACGUGUAGCGGUGAAAUGCGUAGAGAUGUGGAGGAACACCAGCGGCGAAGGCGGCUUUCUGGUCUGUAACUGACGCUGAGGCGCGAAAGCGUGGGGAGCAAACAGGAUUAGAUACCCUGGUAGUCCACGCCGUAAACGAUGAGUGCUAAGUGUUAGGGGGUUUCCGCCCCUUAGUGCUGCAGCUAACGCAUUAAGCACUCCGCCUGGGGAGUACGGCCGCAAAGGCUG